UACGUAGGGGGCAAGCGUUGUCCGGAAUCAUUGGGCGUAAAGCGCGCGUAGGCGGCUAGAUCAGUCUGCUGUAAAAGUCAAAGGCUCAACCUUUGAAAGCCGGUGGAUACUGUCUAGCUAGAGUCCGGAAGAGGCGAGUGGAAUUCCUGGUGUAGCGGUGGAAUGCGCAGAUAUCAGGAGGAACACCAACGGCGAAGGCAGCUCGCUGGGACGGUACUGACGCUGAGGUGCGAAAGCGUGGGGAGCAAACAGG
rnacentral:rRNA from 1 species